GUGGCAACAGGCUUGACCUGCACAAGAUCAGGCUCCCGGUGGCAGCAGGUGAAGAGGGGGUCUGGGCCCCCGUCCCACGAGGAAUGCAAAGCCGCAGCUGUGUGGCCGUGUCCCGCGCAUCAUGUGAUGGCACGCCACCACCAGGCAGCAUGGAGCAGCUCCCAAGGGGAGAGUGAAGGCAGACCCAGCGCAGUCUGAAGUGAGGCUCUGCUGCUCCACGCUUCCGGAAUGAGCCCCCGGACCCUGGUGCUGCAGGAGGAGGUACCACGCCAGCGGGCUGCGCCAGCGGGGCCAGGACGAGGAGGGGUUUUACGGGUUCCUGUAUCCAGACAUCCGGCAGGCGCUGAAGCGGGCGGCCCAGAAGGUGAGGCCAAGCCGUGCGGCGUGACUCUCACCUGGCGCGUUUAGCCAAGAGGGGCCCCUUGCGCUAGGUGCGUUACGGGCCCCGGGCAGAGCGUGCCAACAAAGGGGUACCACAGGCAAGCAAAGAGCAACGGGCUGGCGGCCAUGGUUGCGGGGGCUGGAGUUAGCUGAGAGAGGGUUAGCCAGAUUGCAGGGGGGCUCCAAGCAGGCGCAGACCCAGAGACUGAGGUAGGACACGUGG